rnacentral:misc_RNA from 1 species
GAUGAAGAACGUAGUGAAAUGCGAUACGUAAUGUGAAUUGCAGAAUUCAGUGAAUCAUCGAGUCUUUGAACGCACAUUGCGCCCCCUGGUAUUCCGGGGGGCAUGCCUGUCCGAGCGUCAUUGCUGCCCUCAAGCACGGCUUGUGUGUUGGGCCUCCGUCCUCCUCCCGGGGGACGGGCCCGAAAGGCAGCGGCGGCACCGCGUCCGGUCCUCGAGCGUAUGGGGCUUCGUCACCCGCUCUUGUAGGCCCGGCCGGCGCUUGCCGACACAUCAAUCUUUUUUCCAGGUUGACCUCGGAUCAGGUAGGGAUACCCGCUGAACUUAAGCAUAUCAAUAACGGAGGA